rnacentral:tRNA from 1 species
AAAAAGAUAAGCUAAUAAAGCUAUUAGGUUCAUACCCUGAUUAUAGAGGUUAUAAUCCUCUUCUUUUUA